rnacentral:rRNA from 1 species
CGGGGUGAGUAAUGUCUGGGAAACUGCCUGAUGGAGGGGGAUAACUACUGGAAACGGUAGCUAAUACCGCAUAACGUCGCAAGACCAAGAGGGGACCUUCGGGCCUCUUGCCAUCGGAUGUGCCCAGAUGGGAUUAGCUAGUAGGUGGGGUAAUGGCUCACCUAGGCGACGAUCCCUAGCUGGUCUGAGAGGAUGACCAGCCACACUGGAACUGAGACACGGUCCAG